GGGGGGAGAGCAGGAUCCUGGGCUGUGCCCCCCGGUGCCCUGGGAUCCGGGGCCGGCACGGCUGGAAUCGUGCUCCUGGGGCAGCGACUCCCA
rnacentral:pre_miRNA from 1 species